UGGGGAAUAUUGGACAAUGGGGGGAACCCUGAUCCAGCCAUGCCGCGUGUGUGAAGAAGGCCUUAUGGUUGUAAAGCACUUUAAGCGAGGAGGAGGGUACUGGUAUUAAUACUACCAGCUACUGGACGUUACUCGCAGAAGAAGCACCGGCUAACUCUGUGCCAGCAGCCGCGGUAAUACAGAGGGUGCGAGCGUUAAUCGGAUUUACUGGGCGUAAAGCGAGCGUAGGUGGUUCGUUAAGUUGAAUGUGAAAGCCCCGGGCUCCACCUGGGAACUGCAUCCCAAUCUGGCGAGCUAGAGUAGGGCAGAGGGUGGUGGAAUUUCUUGUGUAGCGGUGAAAUUCGUAGAUAUAGGAAGGAACACCAGUGGCGAAGGCGACCACCUGGGCUCCUACUGACACUGGGGUGCGAAAGCGUGCGGAGCAAACAGG
rnacentral:rRNA from 1 species